AAUCUUCCGCAAUGGACGCAAGUCUGACGGAGCAACGCCGCGUGAGUGAUUAAGGAUUUCGGAUAGUAAAACUCUUUUGAUAGGGAAGUACACGUCUCAGAGUCACUGCCGGUACCUUGACGGUACCUGACGAGAAAGCUACGGCUCACUAAGUUCCAGAAGCCGCGGUAAUACGUAGGUGGCAAGCGUUGUCCGGAUUUAGUGGGCGUAAAGCGCGCGCAGGCGGUCUUUUAAGUCUGAUGUGAAAUCUUACAGCUUAACUGUAAGCGGUCAUUGGAAACUGGGAGACUUGAGUGCAGAAGAGGAGAGUGGAAUUCCAUGUGUAGCGGUGAAAUGCGUAGAGAUAUGGAGGAACACCAGUGGCGAAGGCGACUCUCUGGUCUGUAACUGACGCUGAGGCGCGAAAGCGUGGGGAUCAAACA
rnacentral:rRNA from 1 species